AGGUAACACACACACAGGUAACACACACACACAGGUAACACACACACACACACAGGUAACACACACACACACAUGUAACACAGACACACACAGGUAACACACACAAGUGUGUUUAAAAUAGUAGAAUAUGAGAACAUUGGAGAAAUGAUCUAGACUGAUGAAUAUCUGGGUCUAGAUGUUCACAACAAGAAGUUUAAUUUAAACUAGAAAAAAUGAUGUUCCUAAUGAAACAAGUCAUGAGAAUGAAUAUCUAGAGAAUGAAUAUCUAUAGAAUGAAUAUCUGCAGAAUGAAUAUCUACAGAAUGAAUAUCUACAGAAUGAAUAUCUGCAGGAUGAAUAUCUACAGAAUGAAUAUCUACAGAAUGAAUAUCUGCAGAAUGAAUAUCUACAGAAUGAAUAUCUACAGAAUGAAUAUCUGCAGGAUGAAUAUCUACAGAAUGAAUAUCUACAGAAUGAAUAUCUGCAGAAUGAAUAUCUACAGAAUGAAUAUCUACAGAAUGAAUAUCUACAGGAUGAAUAUCUACAGAAUGAAUAUCUACAGAAUGAAUGUCUACAGGAUGAAUAUCUACAGAAUGAAUAUCUACAGAAUGAAUAUCUGCAGAAUGAAUGUCUACAGAAUGAAUGUCUACAAAAUGAAUAUCUACAGAAUGAAUAUCUACAGAAUGAAUAUCUACAGAAUGAAUAUCUAUAGAAUGAAUGUCUACAAAAUGAAUAUCUACAGAAUGAAUAUCUACAGAAUGAAUAUCUACAGAAUGAAUAUCUACAGAAUGAAUGUCUACAGGAUGAAUAUCUACAAAAUGAAUAUCUACAGAAUGAAUGUCUACAAAAUGAAUAUCUACAGGAUGAAUAUCUACAGAAUGAAUAUCUGCAGAAUGAAUGUCUACAGGAUGAAUAUCUACAGGAUGAAUAUCUACAGAAUGAAUAUCUACAGAAUGAAUAUCUGCAGAAUGAAUGUCUACAGAAUGAAUGUCUACAAAAUGAAUAUCUACAGAAUGAAUAUCUACAGAAUGAAUAUCUACAGAAUGAAUAUCUAUAGAAUGAAUAUCUGCAGAAUGAAUAUCUACAGAAUGAAUAUCUGCAGGAUGAAUAUCUACAGAAUGAAUAUCUACAGAAUGAAUAUCUACAGAAUGAAUAUCUGCAGAAUGAAUAUCUACAGAAUGAAUAUCUACAGGAUGAAUAUCUACAGAAUGAAUAUCUACAGAAUGAAUGUCUACAGGAUGAAUAUCUACAGAAUGAAUAUCUACAGAAUGAAUAUCUGCAGAAUGAAUGUCUACAGAAUGAAUGUCUACAAAAUGAAUAUCUACAGAAUGAAUAUCUACAGAAUGAAUAUCUACAGAAUGAAUAUCUGCAGAAUGAAUAUCUACAGAAUGAAUAUCUACAGGGUGAAUAUCUACAGGAUGAAUAUCUACAGAAUGAAUAUCUACAGGAUGAAUAUCUACAGAAUGAAUAUCUACAGAAUGAAUGUCUACAGGAUGAAUAUCUACAGGAUGAAUAUCUACAGAAUGAAUAUCUAUAGAAUGAAUAUCUACAGAAUGAAUAUCUAUAGAACGAAUAUCUACAGAAUGAAUAUCUACAGGAUGAAUAUCUACAGAAUGAAUAUCUACAGGAUGAAUAUCUACAGAAUGAAUAUCUGCAGAAUGAAUGUCUACAGAAUGAAUGUCUACAAAAUGAAUAUCUACAGAAUAAAUAUCUACAGAACGAAUAUCUACAGAAAGGAAAUAGAAAAAUAAAACAUAAGAACCUGAAAUAGUUGAAAAGGUUGAGAAGUGAAACAGCUACAAAAGCAUAAAUUAGCAGAAGCAGAACAUUUUGACAUAUGAAUUCCUAAAAUCAAAGUUUGCAGAAGACCUUUGUAGCCAGUAAAACCAGUAAAACCAGUAGGCAUGUACACACAAGCAGAAUGCUGACACAGAUAGAAACAGAGCAAACAGAGAAAUCCACUGAAGGUCUAGGACAAGGUGUGACGGGUCUGUAGUCCAGAAGAGUUUGACAGAAAGACCUGCAACAAUGACAGUAAUAGUUCCUAUAUAGUAGACAUUCUACGUUUUAAUGCAUAAAUUAUUCCUGUACAGUUAAAUAUGUAUGAACAGCAUCAUUUUGUUUGUUAAAAACAUGAAAAGUUAAAAAAUGUUCAGUUACUAAAGUUCAGACUUUAACAGCAGUUAGAGGAUUAAACUGUAAACCUGAAAACAUCAAAUAUCUGCAUGAAACUUAAACUGUGGAAAAACCGAGAUAUAUAUAUAUAUAUAUCAUAAAGCUGAGACAUUUGAAUCUAGUUUAAAGUCUGGUGACUUGUUUAAAAGUUGAAUGGAGUUUCUAGGUUGAAGUAAAUAGAAGUAGUUAGUGUGAAAGAGCAGAAGAUUUUAGCAGAAUUUUGUGGAAUUUCAAUGGGGCUGAAAUUUGCACAAAAACACAAAUAUUUCAAAAAGUAAAAUAGUGAAAUUUAGCAAAAGUUAUAGCAGAAAUCUGCAGAAUAAGCUGAACGUUUGAUAUAUGAAUUAGCACAAAUAGUUGAAGUUUGUAGAAAUAGUUGGAUGUAAUAAAAUGUACGGAAGUCUGAAUAAUAAUAAAGAGAAACAGAAACACUGUCAGUGAGAAUACAUUGAUUUAUUGAUUUAUUGAUUUAUUCUCACUGAUAAUAAUCUGAUAACCUGGAUCAGUUGGACUGAAGGGAUUUUUCUAUAAAUGUGAAUCAGAGGUAUGGAUAUAAUCUGAAUUUCAGGUUAAAAACAAUAAAUGUAUGAUAGAAGAACCCAAAUGGACCGGUCACUUCAUUUGGUUCCGGUCACACAGUCCCAGGCUUUAGUCAUUGGUCCAGACUAAAGCCUGGGAUUAUAAUCUGAUAUCAUCUGCUGCUCCUCAGUGCUGCUGUUCUCUGGCCACUGAUGAGUUUCUGUGUUCAGAUUUAUCAAGUUUUUGUUCUUUUUAGCCACUUCAGCUUUUUCCCAAACUUGAAACAACUAGUUUCCUCUGAAGAGACGCAGCAACAAUUCAUCUCAGUGACUUUAUUAUUUAUUUAUUUAUUUAUCCUUUCUUUUUCUGAACAAACAUGUUCACAUGAGCAGGUUGAAAACCUACAAAUAAAUAGGAGAAAUAUUAAUUACAGAUCACAAUGAGUUAAUCUUAACUUUAACUUAAUCUUAACUUUAACUAAUUAACUAGUUUGUCAAAUAAUGAUUCAAUAAUUUACUUGUAAGUUAUCAGUGAAUAAAUAAAUAAAUAAUAUUCCAAACAGUGCAAUGAAUUUGUUUCCAAACACAUGAACAACAUAACAUCAGAUAAUAAAUCUAUUUUAAUUUUAUGAAUAAUGUUCAUUCCUAUCAUGGUGUCUUUGAGGAAGUUUCAGUUCAGGUUGUUUGUCUGAACAGAGAUUAUUGUCAGCAAAGGUGUUUCAAGCUUGAGCAGUGAAAGGGAUGGGAGCGCUUGAUUCGUUGCAAGGUGUGUGCCAGUUGGGUGGAGACGGUGAAUACAUUCAAAGUUUGUUGUUUUAACUAGUCAGUCUCCUUGGAUUGAUGGUGGCAGAGAAACCAGUCCUGACCUGGAAUCAGACACUAAACCAGUUCAGAGCUCCAACUGGUUUAGUUUGUCUAAACUGGACUGUAGAAAAAUCUGGGAGGAUUUUGGUUUUUAUGGCCAACAUUAAUAUUAGAAGCUGAAACUAAUCAGUUUAUUAGUUUUGCUCAUUUCAAGGUGAUUUAAUCAUAAAAACAGAAAAUAACAAAGUUUUCAAUAAAUCUCCAGGAAAAUUGAACAAAUGUUACAUUUUGAUGAGUUUAAUCAUAAAUAUGUUGAUUAAUGUUUCAUUUAUUAUGGUUCUAACCAGGAGGGUUUGGAUAGAAUUAAAAUAAAAACCUAUAUAAAUACUAAUCAUUAUAUCUAAGGGCUGUUAGAUUCUGUUUCUGGAAGGUCAGUUUUGUCUGCAGGAAGUUAUAAACUUGUCAAACUGAGAAAUGACCUGGCAGGAAAAACACUAAAGGCUAAAAGAUCAAAGUUUGUGACUCACUGAGAUAAAAUCUGCAGAGAUAAAUGUCAUGUUAAUAGUCAUAUUUUAUUUCUUUAUUUAAUCAGGUAAACCCCAUUGAGAUCUAGACCUCAUAGUCCUGCAGAGACUUAAAGACAGGAGCUGAUAUUUAAAUGCUGUGGAAUGAAUUAAGCUGUUUGCCUCUCAGCCUUUAGAGCUGCAACGUUCAUGUGAUUUAGUGCAGAUCCUGUUUCAGUCAACAGGAAGGACGAACUUCAGAGCAGGAAGAGAUUGUAACUGAAACACGUAACCCUAACCCUAAACACGUCUCUGUUCACGAGUAAAAUUAAAUCUGACUCUUUAUGUUAUUAAUGAGGUUUGAACCUGACAGGUUUUAGUCUAGAUUUACAGGAACUCAGUGUUUCAGCUGUGCUGCAGUUUUCUGGUAGUUUGUUCUAGAUCUGUGGUGGAUAGAAGCUGAAUGCGGCUCCUCCAUCUGCUGAAAGUCUGUCAUUUAAUCUCCACUGUUAAAACCAGCUGAUUAGUGGAUUAUAGAUUUUCUAACAAAGAUCAUUAAUAUCUUCAUCAUCAGUUUUCUGGUAGUUUGUUCUAGAUCUGUGGUCUAUAGAAGCUGAAUGUUGCUCUUUAUUAUCUUCAUCAUCAGUUUCCUGAUCUCCUCAGGGUUUGUUCUAGUUCCUCUGUUUCUAUCUGGUCUCUCAGUCUCAUCCUGACCUGCUGAAAGGUUAAAGUUCACCUGCUGAGGAUCAGCUGGUCGCCCCCUGCAGGCCUGCUGUGGUACCACCACUAACCUCUUCCUCCUCCUCUUCCUCUCCAGGUCUGCAGCUCUCACUGUGGAUCAGCCGCCUUCCGGGCCACAGCCAGGUUGGUGAUGGAUGACGGGACGGCUGAAGCUCAUGUCUGGUUGUCGGGGCAACCGGUCCAGGCUGCGCUGGGAUUGGCUGAUUCCCAGUGGGCGGGGCUCCAGAGGGCGGUCAGGGUCAG